UGUGGGAGCUGGCUUGCCUGCGAUGGCGGUGUGUCUGUCGGCAGAUGUAUCAACUGACAGAUUGCUAUCGCAGGCAAGCCAGCUCCCACA
rnacentral:misc_RNA from 1 species